CAGCAUUGAUGAGAGUUGAGAAGCGAGAGUUUGCAUGAGAGUUUUCUCAACUCUCAUGCCCUGGUCAAACGAGAACAAGAGUUGCAUGAGAGUUGAGAAAACUCUCAUGCAAACUCUCGCUUCUCAACUCUCAUCAACGCUG